UGGGGAAUAUUGGGCAAUGGAGGAAACUCUGACCCAGCAACGCCGCGUGAAGGAUGAAGGUUUUCGGAUUGUAAACUUCUGUUGCGAGGGAUGAAGAAUGACGGUACCUCGUGAGGAAGCCCCGGCAAACUACGUGCCAGCAGCCGCGGUAAUACGUAGGGGGCGAGCGUUGUCCGGAAUGACUGGGCGUAAAGGGAGUGUAGGCGGCCUUUUAAGUUAUAUGUGAAAGCCCUGGGCUCAACCGAGGAACUGCAUAUAAAACUGGGAGGCUGGAGUGCAGGAGAGGUAAGCGGAAUUCCUAGUGUAGCGGUGGAAUGCGUAGAUAUUAGGAAGAACACCGGAGGCGAAGGCGGCUUACUGGACUGUAACUGACGCUGAGGCUCGAAAGCGUGGGGAGCAAACAGG
rnacentral:rRNA from 1 species